rnacentral:rRNA from 1 species
UACGUAGGGGCAAGCGUUGUCCGGAAUUAUUGGGCGUAAAGAGCGGUGUAGGCGGUUUGGUAGGUCCGCUGUGAAAACAUCGAGCUCAACCUCGAGACGCCGGUGGAAACCAUCAGACUAGAGUCCGGAAGAGGAGAGUGGAAUUCCUGGUGUAGCGGUGAAAUGACGCAGAGUAUCAGGAAGAACACCCGUGGCUAAAGGCGGCUCUCUAGUACGGUAC